rnacentral:piRNA from 1 species
GUUUGUUGGGAGGAGGGUUGUUAGU